CCUACGGGAGGCAGCAGUGAGGAAUAUUGGUCAAUGGGCGUAAGCCUGAACCAGCCAAGUCGCGUGAGGGAUGAAGGUUCUAUGGAUUGUAAACCUCUUUUAUAAGGGAAUAAAGUGCGGGACGUGUCCCGUUUUGUAUGUACCUUAUGAAUAAGGAUCGGCUAACUCCGUGCCAGCAGCCGCGGUAAUACGGAGGAUCCGAGAGUUAUCCGGAUUUAUUGGGUUUAAAGGGUGCGUAGGGGGCCUUUUAAGUCAGCGGUGAAAGUCUGUGGCUCAACCAUAGAAUUGCCGUUGAAAAUGGGAGUCUUGAGUAUGUUUGAGGCAGGGGGAAUGCGUGGGGUAGCGGUGAAAUGCUAAGAUA
rnacentral:rRNA from 1 species